UCAAAUUGGGUCAGCAAAUUUUUGCCCAUUUUGCCAUGUCUUUGUGCUACAAGGCUCUUGGCAAAUUCCCUUAUAUCUAUAUCUUUACUAAAGAUGUAUGAAUAAUUAAUAAUUAGUUGUGUUAAGGGGUAUCAAUAGUGGUCUGAAACCUUGCAAAAAUUGAGUUAAUAAUAAAAAUUCAUGUGAUUUACUGUCCAGGAACAGAUUUCUCUGCACUUUUUUAUUUGGGGGGAGAAAGAUUUCAGUGCAUUGGGUUAUUCACUAUUGUAAGUUUCUUUUUGGAGGUAAAUUUUCAAGCAAUGGCAUCCUGAGAUAACUUCUGCUACGUAGAUGUACUAGCAAACUUGGAACCAGUACUGGAAGUGACCAAGGAGUCAAGAAUCCCAUACACAACAAGAGCCACCAUAGCUGAUGGAGGAGAUAAUCCAGCAAGAGCACAAUAAACAAGAAGGGAGUCACCCUCUAAAAUAAAUUCCUGUAAUCCCAAAUCCUUUGCAAACUAUGGAUUGGAAAAUAGUUUGUAUUUCUAUUAUUUAGUAUAUAAAGAACUGAGCUCUUGUAAUGUAA